CCAUGCUAUUGCGUGCAUAUGGCACAACAAAAAAGAACCUGAAGAUUUUGUUUCCUCGUAUUAUAGGAAGAGUACUUUCAUGGCUACUUAUUCUCACAUCAUUUUGCCAACAAAUGGUCCCCAACUAUGGCGUAUAUCAAAAACAGCGGCAAUUAAUCCACCUGUUGUGAGAAGAGCUAUCGGCCGCCCAAAAAAAUAGAAACAAGGCUAAUGAUGAGAAAAAAAAUCCACCCCAUGUAUUGCCCAGUGAUCUAAAAACAAAGACAUGUAAAAAAUGUCAAGUGAUGGGUCAUAACAAGAAGACGUGUGGAGGAAAGCGUGCUGCUGAUAGAUUGAUUCCAAAAGGCGGAAAUAAGCAAAAGAAGGCAAACAAGUCUGGUACACAAGGAACAAAUUGUGCUGGUGGGUCUGGAGCUGGUGGGUCUAGUGCUGGUGGUUUUGGUGUACAAGGAAGUGAUGGGGCUGCAACUAUGUUAACUCAAGGAUCACAACCUCCUCCAACCCAAGAUUCUCAAGCAUAAUAUGUUUAUUAAUUAUGCUUGUUUUUUGAUAACGCAAUUAGACAUAUUAUUGAAAUAUUCAGUUGUUAUGCUUGUUUUGUGACUCAAAUGUUGGAUGUAUUAUUGCAUCAACACUCUAUCAUUGUGGCUCUUUUUGCCAUGUUUUUU